rnacentral:lncRNA from 1 species
GGGAACUCGCUAAGCAUUUAUGCUUACAGUUGUUGUGUUAUGUGUUUCACUGCAACGCCAAAGUCAUCCUAAGUAGUGGUCUCCAUCACCUCACCUGUAACAACCUGAAAUUGUUCGUCGCCAAAACCCGUUCUACCCGAAAGGUCGCCGUUAUCAAAUUCGUUUCGUUUUCUCUUUGGGUUAAUUAUAUAAACUUAUACGUUGAUUUUAAUUUAAUGAGUGUCUAAAUCACUCAGGAACUCACGUAAUUAGCCUGAAUAUAAUUAUUACAUGAGUUUUAGAAACGUCCCCGCCAGGUGAUGGAAACUCAAUCGGGUGCGACCUAAAGCAUCGUUUAAGGCCGGUAUCGGGUAGAAUUCCACUGUGUCCAAGUUUUAGGAACUAUAUAAACAUGUUUAACCUCUCAUUUGAAGCUUUUUCCUUCUCUCUCUACUCUCUCUCUAACCUCUCUCCUAAAUCCAAAGAUUAAGGGUCCAAAACUCAAUUUUAAGGCCUCAAAUCCUUAAGGUACCUUCCUAGCCUUAAUCUAUAGCAUGUUUGGCUUCCAAAUUUGACAUUUAAUCAUGAAAUAGGACAUCAUAUGUGAGUUUACGGCCCAGGAGGCUGCCUAGGCCGUAAACACCAUUUUGAAGGGUUUUAAGCCCUUAAACUCCUUCCUAAACUCAUUUGGACUUUAGAUAUGGCUAAGGGACUUCAAGAUAUGGACUUAGAACACUUAAAUCAUGGAUUUUGAGUCAUUUGAAGGAGUUUACGGCCAAGGCAUAAGCUUGGGCCGUAAACUCAUUUAAAUGGGGUUUUUCAUGCCCUUAAACCCUUCCAAAUCACUACUAUGGCUUAGAUAUGAAUUAUAGGACAUUGGUUUUAGCAUUUGGACACUUGAAACAUGAUUUUUGGGGGACUUAGAUGAGUUUACGGCCAAGGAUAGUGCUUGGGCCGUAAACUCCCCAAAACUUGGCAUAAAUCCAAUUCUAAGGUGUUAGAAAGCCAUCCAACACCACCAAAAGCCUUGGAAUAAAUCAAGGGACCAACCAAAAAUACUUUAAGGGCCUUAAACACAUCAUUUAUGGGAUUUCUAAGAGUUUACGGCCAAGACCUGUUCUUGGGCCGUAAACUCCAAAAUUUUUGGUGUUAGAAUGCAAACUAAACACCCCUAAGGCCCUUAGAUGAAUUUUAGAAGCCAUUCUAUGCAAGUUUUAGACCUUGAAACACCUUGUAGCAUCAUAUAGUAGAGUUUACGGCCAUGAGAGGGGUCUCAUGGGCCGUAAACUCCAUAAAUCCUUCAUAUGUCCCAUACAAAUUCAUGUUAGACCUUGGAAUAAUUCUAUUAAUCACAUGUGAUUUGUUUUGGAACCAUUUAACACCAUUUUCUUGGAAAAAUAGGAGUUUACGGCCAUGGAGCCAUGCUAGGCCGUAAACUCCCAUAUAAGGGUCUAUUUGAUGCUUUGAAAUCAUUCCAAGUCCUUAAACCAAGUCUAGAAAUUAUCCCCUAAGUGUUUGAAGUCAUUUAGCACCUUAAACCACACCCACCAUGAGUUUACGGCCGUAAACUCAUGGGGAAUGGGUGUUUUAGACCAAAAACUCUUCUAUUAGUUUACUCAUGGGGAGUAAACUCAAGUCCCAAGUCCCUAGUGUCAUUUCACGUCCUUAAACGCCACCCGGGUCCCUCCAAACACUUGUAUCGGAGUGUUUUCGCGACUUGAAGCAAGUGUCCCUAACAAAUAGCUAAUCUAAGUCCUAAUUAGAUACAAAUGUGUAUCUUUAAAUUAUACUUAGGAACCUCGCGCAUUUACAAGCCCCGGACUAAAGUUUAGCAUCCGAAAUCGUCACGUUUCUCGUCCGGUGAGUUCAUACCCCUACCCUUUUUCACUGUUUUUAACUGUUUUCAGGGGGGAAUACAAGCAAAAGUACAAGUGUUUCUUGUACUUAAACUGAUUUACAAUUUAAUGAUUUUAGUUUCUAAAUGUCAUGAUUUCCAAAGAUUAUGAUAACUGAUGUUUCGAAUUGCAGGUUAAUUGUAGAUUUCUUUCGAAAAGUGUUUUAAAUCACAUUAUCUUUUGUAAAAGAAAUCAUACUAAUAAUAACAAAUAUAACUAACAGGAUAGAACGAAUGCGAAUAUGGAUAUAACUAGGUACGAAUACGAAUAACGAAUUCGAAUACUAAUACGAAUACGAAUAACGAAUUUGAAUACUAAUAGGAGUACGAAUACGAGUACUAAUACGAAUACGAAUGUAAUUUAGAACGAAUAUGUCUACGAAUACGAAUAUGUCUACGAACACGGAUAUGUCUAUGAAUACGAAUACGUCUACGAAUACGAAUAUGUCUACGAAUACGAAUACGUCUACAAAUACGAAUACGACUGCGAAUACGAAAUAACGCCUUUGGUUGACACUAAGACUUCAAAUAUACAGUUAAUGUACUCCUUGAGUGUCACCAGAGUUUCGAAUUUAUUACGAAAAUACUCCUUUGGACCUCUACUGAGUUUCGAAUAUAUCCGCCUCAGAAUGUCGACAGAGCUUCGAAAUUACAACUAAGUUAGUAGACUAUAGUCAUCCGAUCGUAGAAUAACUAAGGAAGUAGAAUAUAUAAUUAAUACUACUCACAUAGUAAUUACUAGUAUUUCGAAAUCAGACUUAAGAACAAAACACUACACAUAGGAAAAUAUGGGAUUUUCCUGGGAUAACAUCAAAAUCAGUAACGAACCUAGAUACAAAUAGACAACUCAACAUAUAGGAAAAUAUGGGAUUUUCCUGGGUAACACAACAGCACAUAAUCGAGUAAAGAAACAAACGAAUAACUAUAACUAUAAGGAAAAUAUGGAAUUUCCUGGAAUGUCAUAACUAACCGUUUCCGAAUUUGUAACAAAGGAUAACUAAACUGUUUUUGAAUAAGAAAAUAUGGGAUUUUCUUCAUCAACAACUUUUCUCGAAACGUAAAGGAACUCGUCUUUUCAAAACUAAAUUGCUUAUGAACUCACCAGCUUUAUGCUGAUUUUCAAACUGCUUGUAUUCUCAGGUCAGCGUUAGACAGGUACAUCGCAACCUUUUGGAGAAGAUGGAGCGUUCCGAAGACUCGUCUUUACUUUUGUUUAUAUUACAUAUGUAAAAUACUUGUACAACUCUACUUUCAAACAAAUGUAAACAAUAUUAUGUAAUGUAAUGUUUUGUGAUUACUGUUUUACUAUGUGCAUUGGAUUUGAUACUCAACAUGGAGUCAACCCCGGAAAUGUUUCCGCCUUUGGUUUUCGGGGUGUGACAUCACCCAUCUCAGAUUCAGGAAGCAGACUACACCUCAGGCUCUCAUUUUUUGGGAGCAAAUUACACCUCAGCCUCUCAUUUUCAGGAAACAUACCACACAGAAGACAGUAAAAUAGACAAGUUAUUAGGCAUUGUUACUUAAUUGAAAACCACAAUCG